rnacentral:rRNA from 1 species
UCGAGGGGCAGCGGUGGUGAAGGCUUGCCUUUACCAGCCGGCGACCGGCGCACGGGUGAGUAACACGUAUGCAACCUGCCUGCCACAGCCGGAUAAUCGGGAGAAAUCCCGUCUAAUACGGCAUAAUGCACCUAUGGGACAUCCUGUUGGUGCCAAAGGUUAAUUCCGGUGGCGGAUGGGCAUGCGUCGCAUUAGUUAGUUGGCGGUGUAACGGACCACCAAGACGACGAUGCGUAGGGGUUCUGAGAGGAAGGUCCCCCACACUGGUACUGAGACACGGACCAGACUCCUACGGGAGGCAGCAGUGAGGAAUAUUGGUCAAUGGGCGGGAGCCUGAACCAGCCAAGUCGCGUGAGGGAUGACGGCCCUAUGGGUUGUAAACCUCUUUUGCCGGGGAGCAAAGUGCCGCACGUGUGCGGUUUGGAGAGUACCCGGAGAAAAAGCAUCGGCUAACUCCGUGCCAGCAGCCGCGGUAAUACGGAGGAUGCGAGCGUUAUCCGGAUUUAUUGGGUUUAAAGGGUGCGUAGGCGGACGCUUAAGUCAGCGGUAAAAUUGCGGGGCUCAACCUCGUCGAGCCGUUGAAACUGGGUGCCUUGAGUGGGCGAGAAGUACGCGGAAUGCGUGGUGUAGCGGUGAAAUGCAUAGAUAUCACGCAGAACUCCGAUUGCGAAGGCAGCGUACCGGCGCCCAACUGACGCUGAAGCACGAAGGCGUGGGUAUCGAACAGGAUUAGAUACCCUGGUAGUCCACGCAGUAAACGAUGAAUGCUAGUUGUCCGGGGCGAUUGAGUUCUGGGUGACACAGCGAAAGCGUUAAGCAUUCCACCUGGGGAGUACGCCGGCAACGGUG